rnacentral:rRNA from 1 species
UACAGAGGGUGCGAGCGUUGUCCGGAAUCACUGGGCGUAAAGGGCGCGUAGGCGGCGCGGUAAGCGUGCGGUGAAAGCCCGGGGCUCAACCCCGGGUCGGCCGUGCGGACUGCCGGGCUGGAGCACUGUAGAGGCAGGUGGAAUUCCCGGUGUAGCGGUGGAAUGCGUAGAGAUCGGGAAGAACAUCAGUGGCGAAGGCGGCCUGCUGGGCUGUUGCUGACGCUGAGGCGCGACAGCGUGGGGAGCAAACAGG